AUUGAACGCUGGCGGCAUGCUUUACACAUGCAAGUCGAACGGCAGCGGGGACUUCGGUCCGCCGGCGAGUGGCGGACGGGUGAGUAACGCGUGGGAACGUACCCUUUGCUACGGAAUAGCCUCGGGAAACUGGGAGUAAUACCGUAUGUGCCCUUCGGGGGAAAGAUUUAUCGGCAAAGGAUCGGCCCGCGUUGGAUUAGGUAGUUGGUGGGGUAAUGGCCUACCAAGCCGACGAUCCAUAGCUGGUUUGAGAGGAUGAUCAGCCACACUGGGACUGAGACACGGCCCAGACUCCUACGGGAGGCAGCAGUGGGGAAUCUUAGACAAUGGGGGCAACCCUGAUCUAGCCAUGCCGCGUGAGUGAUGAAGGCCUUAGGGUUGUAAAGCUCUUUCAGCUGGGAAGAUAAUGACUGUACCCACAGAAGAAGCCCCGGCUAACUCCGUGCCAGCAGCCGCGGUAAUGUACAGUGU
rnacentral:rRNA from 1 species